AACUUUUAACAACGGAUCUCUUGGCUCUCGCAUCGAUGAAGAACGCAGCGAAAUGCGAUACGUAAUGUGAAUUGCAGAAUUCAGUGAAUCAUCGGAUCUUUGAACGCACCUUGCGCCCCUUGGAAUUCCGAGGGGCACACCCGUUUGAGUGUCGUGAACAUCCUUCAACCUUUCUUGGUUUCUUGACCGGGGAAGGCUUGGACUUUGGGGGUCUUUCAUUGCUGGCCUCUUUGAAGCCAGCUCCUCCUAAAUGGAUUAGUGUGGUCUGCUUUGCCGAUCCUUGACGUGAUAAGAUGUUUCUACGUCUUGGGUUUCGCACUGUCGCUUUAGACCCCGCUUCUAACCGUCUUGCAUUCAAGACAGAGUUUUAAACCUUGACCUCAAAUCGGGUGAGACUACCCGCUGAACUUAAGCAUUAUCAAUAAGCGGAGGCU
rnacentral:misc_RNA from 1 species